UACGGAGGGUGCAAACGUUGCUCGGAAUCAUUGGGCGUAAAGCGCGUGUAGGCGGCCAGAAAAGUCCGCUGUGAAAACUCGAGGCUCAACUUCGAGCUGUCGGUGGAAACUUUCUGGCUAGAGUCCGGAAGAGGAGAAUGGAAUUCCUGGUGUAGCGGUGAAAUGCGCAGAUAUCAGGAAGAACACCCGUGGCGAAGGCGGUUCUCUGGGACGGUACUGACGCUGAGACGCGAAAGCGUGGGGAGCGAACAGG
rnacentral:rRNA from 1 species